rnacentral:rRNA from 1 species
AAGUUAAUAAGGGCGCACGGUGGAUGCCUUGGCACUAAGAGCCGAAGAAGGACGUGACUAACUACGAAAUGUCUGGGGGAGCUGUAAGUACGCUUUGAUCCCAGGAUCUCCGAAUGGGGAAACCCACUUGUUUAUGGCAAGUAUCCGUACAUGAAUACAUAGUGUACGUGAAGGUAACGCAGAGAACUGAAACAUCUAAGUACCUGCAGGAAAAGAAAAUAAUAAUGAUUGCGUCAGUAGCGGCGAGCGAACGCGCAUUAGGGCAAACCAGGAAGCUUGCUUCCUGGGGUUGUAGGACUGCAAUGUGGACUUAAGCUUCAUAGCUGAAUUACCUGGAAAGGUAAGCUAAAGAGAGUAAUAGCCUCGUAAGCGAAAUGAAACUUAUACCUAGCAGUAUCCUGAGUAGGGCUGGACACGUGAAAUCCAGUUUGAAUCCGGGAGGACCAUCUCCCAACCCUAAAUACUCCUUAGUGACCGAUAGUGAACCAGUACCGUGAGGGAAAGGUGAAAAGAACCCCGGGAGGGGAGUGAAAUAGCACCUGAAACCGUGUGCCUACAAGAAGUUCGAGGACGUUAAUGUCUGAGAGCGUGCCUUUUGUAGAAUGAACCGGCGAGUUACGUUAUGAUGCGAGGUUAAGGUGAAGAGCCGGAGCCGCAGGGAAACCGAGUCUGAAUAGGGCGUUUUAGUAUCAUGAUGUAGACCCGAAACCUAGUGACCUAUCCAUGAGCAGGGUGAAGGUAAGGUAAAACUUACUGGAGGCCCGAACCAGGACACGUUGAAAAGUGUUUGGAUGACUUGUGGAUAGCGGAGAAAUUCCAAUCGAACUGGGAGAUAGCUGGUUCUCUCCGAAAUAGCUUUAGGGCUAGCGUCGCAAUUUAAGUGUUAUGGAGGUAGAGCACUGUUUGGAUGAGGGGCCCAUCUCGGGUUACCAAUUUCAGAUAAACUCCGAAUGCUAUAACACAUGUGCGGCAGUCAGACUGCGAGUGCUAAGAUCCGUAGUCGAAAGGGAAACAGCCCAGACCACCAGCUAAGGUCCCAAAAUAUAUGUUAAGUGGAAAAGGAUGUGGGGUUGCACAGACAACUAGGAUGUUAGCUCAGAAGCAGCUAUCAUUCAAAGAGUGCGUAAUAGCUCACUAGUCGAGUGACCCUGCGCCGAAAAUGUACCGGGGCUAAACAUAUUACCGAAGCUGUGGAUCAAUUUUAAUUGAUGGUAGGAGAGCGUUGUAAUCAGCGUCGAAGGUGUACCGUGAGGAGCGCUGGAGCGAUUACAAGUGAGAAUGCCGGUAUGAGUAGCGAAAGACAGGUGAGAAUCCUGUCCACCGUAAGACUAAGGUUUCCAGGGGAAGGCUCGUCCGCCCUGGGUUAGUCGGGACCUAAGGCGAGGCCGAAAGGCGUAGUCGAUGGCCAACAGGUUGAUAUUCCUGUACACGUAUUGUUGUGAAGGAGGGACGCAGUAGGCUAAGGGAUGCCAGUUAAUGGAUUCUGGUCUAAGCAGUGAGGCGGACGAAGUGUCAAAUGCAUGAGUCUUAACGUUGAGCUGUGAUGGGGAAGUUGCUUCGGCAACGAAGUCCCUGAUGUCACACUGCCAAGAAAAGCUUCUAACUUAAUUCAAUACGUCCCGUACCGCAAACCGACACAGGUAGUCGAGGCGAGUAGCCUCAGGUGAGCGAGCGAACUCUCGUUAAGGAACUCGGCAAAAUGACCCCGUAACUUCGGGAGAAGGGGUGCUGCUCUAUGAGCAGCCGCAGUGAAAAGAUCCAAGCAACUGUUUAUCAAAAACACAGCUCUCUGCUAAACCGCAAGGUGAUGUAUAGGGGGUGACGCCUGCCCGGUGCUGGAAGGUUAAGAGGAGUGCUUAGCAAUAGCGAAGGUAUGAAUUGAAGCCCCAGUAAACGGCGGCCGUAACUAUAACGGUCCUAAGGUAGCGAAAUUCCUUGUCGGGUAAGUUCCGACCCGCACGAAAGGCGUAAUGAUUUGGAUACUGUCUCAACGAGAGACUCGGUGAAAUUUUAGUACCUGUGAAGAUGCAGGUUACCCGCGACAGGACGGAAAGACCCCAUGGAGCUUUACUGUAGUUUGAUAUUGAGUAUCUGUAAAGGAUGUACAGGAUAGGUAGGAGCCUAUGAAAUGUGUACGCUAGUAUACAAGGAGGCGCUGUUGGGAUACUACCCUUUCUUUAUGGCUGCUCUAACCCACACCCGUAAUCCGGGUGGGAGACAGUGUCUGACGGACAGUUUGACUGGGGCGGUCGCCUCCUAAAAUGUAACGGAGGCGCUCAAAGGUUGGCUCAGUAUGGUUGGAAAUCAUACGUAGAGUGUAAAGGUAAAAGCCAGCUUGACUGCGAGAGCUACAACUCGAGCAGGUAGGAAACUAGGACUUAGUGAUCCGGUGGUACCGCAUGGAAGGGCCAUCGCUCAACGGAUAAAAGCUACCCUGGGGAUAACAGGCUUAUCUCCCCCAAGAGUUCACAUCGACGGGGAGGUUUGGCACCUCGAUGUCGGCUCGUCGCAUCCUGGGGCUGUAGUCGGUCCCAAGGGUUGGGCUGUUCGCCCAUUAAAGCGGCACGCGAGCUGGGUUCAGAACGUCGUGAGACAGUUCGGUCCCUAUCCGUCGCGGGCGUAGGAAAUUUGAGAGGGUCUGUCCUUAGUACGAGAGGACCGGGAUGGACUUACCGCUGGUGUACCAGUUGUGCCGCCAGGCGCAUCGCUGGGUAGCUAUGUAGGGACGGGAUAAGCGCUGAAAGCAUCUAAGUGCGAAGCCCCCCUCGAGAUGAGAUUUCCCAUUCUUUAUGAAUUAAGAGCCCUGAGAGAUGAUCAGGUUGAUAGGCUGGAAGUGGAAGUAUGGCGACAUAUGUAGCGGACCAGUACUAAUGGCUCGAGGACUUUACC